UAUCUCCUGCGACGUUUGAGUUGUGCUGGGUGUUCCUGAACCUGUAUUAACCCAGGGAACUAAUUCUGACACUGGAUGCGCAUGCCCAUUUAAUAUGGGAAGCCCGAUAUGUCAAGCUUGUUCCCACUUGAACCAUCGGUUCAAGGACGAAAGCACAUUACGGCGUAUAGGCGGGAGAUAC
rnacentral:other from 1 species